GAUGAACGCUGGCGGCGUGCCUAACACAUGCAAGUCGAGCGAUUCUCUUCGGAGAAGAGCGGCGGACGGGUGAGUAACGCGUGGGUAACCUGCCCUGUACACACGGAUAACAUACCGAAAGGUAUGCUAAUACGAGAUAAUAUGCUUUUAUCGCAUGGUAGAAGUAUCAAAGCUCUGGCGGUACAGGAUGGACCCGCGUCUGAUUAGCUAGUUGGUAAGGUAACGGCUUACCAAGGCGACGAUCAGUAGCCGACCUGAGAGGGUGAUCGGCCACAUUGGAACUGAGACACGGUCCAAACUCCUACGGGAGGCAGCAGUGGGGAAUAUUGCACAAUGGGCGAAAGCCUGAUGCAGCAACGCCGCGUGAGCGAUGAAGGCCUUCGGGUCGUAAAGCUCUGUCCUCAAGGAAGAUAAUGACGGUACUUGAGGAGGAAGCCCCGGCUAACUACGUG
rnacentral:rRNA from 1 species